UGGAAUCUAAAUUCCACUCAAAUGACAAGUCAACCCUGUGAAUUAAAACUCCAAAUGGUUUUAUAAAGCAAUUAAAUCAACAUAUAUGUACUUUUUUGGGAGCUUGGAAAGGACUUCAAGACAAAUACCAAACCCUGGUCCCAUCAGUAACUAUAGAACUAUAUGCAAUAGCAUGCAAAUUCCUGCCAGUAACUAUAUAAACUGGAUGUGGUCCUGUGAGUAACUGUAAAAUACAUGCAGUAACAGGGAAAGGUCUCAGCAAAGUGGGAAAAGCACAGAUGUGCAAACACAGCUGAGAAAAAUGUGUGUGGUUCAUUCACUUGUUUGCCAGAGUGUUGUUACUUCAGCACAUUAUUUACAGAUAAAAAAUGGCACAUCCUUGCAGUCAUGUGGCUCCUCAGCUCCCUCUUUAUAAUCCAGGUUAACCAGCAAUUCUGGGCAGAAAUAAUUUGGCUACUUUGGUGCUCAGCUCUUGGCCCAGGAAAACUCCUUUAUUCGGAGGAAGAAGCAGCCAGGAGGGAAACCCAGCUCCCAAGGGGCUCUGGGAAACAGACUGAGAGUCUUUGCCAGCCUCAAUGAUGCUGUGAUUCUGUUUUAUGGGAGCUGUGGGAAGGCAAUCCCUGUGAAACUCAGCAGCACCCACCCACCCAUCCACCCACCUGUGGGCUUCCUCCAGCACCAGCAAGUUGUUGCUUUGCAAAAAUGAAGGCACAGGGGUUUGUGCCAUGAGGUUUUCCACCUGUGCUUCCCAAAUCCAUUUCCAGACGGAAUCCCCACUGCAGCCUUCACUGGGAUUGAUUAUUGUGCACACAGGAUUCACAGCUGUGCUGGUGGCUCCCAAAAGCACUGGCAGCUCCCGGGCAGGCUGAUCCCAAGGGAUUUUCCUUCCCCAGGGGUGGUUGCCAGCUGAGGAAUAUUCUGGAUAACAUCUUUUGGUUAUUGCCUGUAGUGACUUCUAGAAAAUGCAGCUUUUGAAUCCCAAGGGCUGGCUUCUGUUUAGUGUGGAGAACGGAUGGAAAUGAUGUUUUAAUUCAAGAUUACCAUCAAAAGGUCCUUGUCUCUGGUGAUACAUCGAGAGAAAAUCUAGAAAACUGCAGCUAUGAAAGUGGGGUAUUUAAAACAAACCAGAAAGGAUGGUGGUGUCCUGAAGUUCUGGGUGUCUGAAUGCAC
rnacentral:lncRNA from 1 species